rnacentral:rRNA from 1 species
UACGGGGGGGGCAAGCGUUGUUCGGAAUUACUGGGCGUAAAGGGCCAGUAGGCGGCCAACUAAGUCGGAUGUGAAAUCCCCAGGCUUAACCUGGGAACUGCAUCCGAUACUGGAUGGCUUGAAUUCGGGAGAGGGAUGCGGAAUUCCAGGUGUAGCGGUGAAAUGCGCAGAUAUCAGGAGGAACACCGGUGGCGAAGGCGGGUCUCUGGGCCGUAACUGACGCUGAGGAGCGAAAGCGUGGGGAGCGAACAGG